rnacentral:lncRNA from 1 species
GUGCCCGGCGCGGACAGUCCAGACCGCCACAGCAGAUGAACUGUUCUGGGUGGUGUGAUCUGUGGACUAGGCAUUUCCACCCUAGCAGAGAAGGAAGGAUUCAUUUUGAACUCUGCUUAUCGCGCCGUCGGAACUUAACUUGGUUGUUUCUUUGUUUGCAGGCGCCUUCCAAAUCCAGGACUUAGGAAUCCGAGUCCCGCAGCUCCCGCAUUUCUUCCGCUGGGACCCCGGAGCCAGGAUGCUUUCUUAGAGUGACUGUGGCGCAGCUUGCAAAGUAUUAUCCGUCUUCUUCAAUUCCUGACCAGCACCACUGCUUAAGCACCCUCCCGCAGUCCCUCAGUCACAGCUGGAAAACAAUGAUAACCAUGAUAACUUGAACUGUAUUCAUGCCGCGGAAACCAUGGCCAAAAGUGAUGACUCUUUUAGAGGAUCUGCUACGCAGACUGCCCCCAUCUUUCCGCGGGAGGAUGGAUUUAAAUUUUAGAAAUCUGGGAAGGCUGUGCUACAGUUUUAUGCCCUAUAAAAUAACAAGCAUCAUCGGAGGCGGGAACUUUGGCUAUGAGAAUUUAAAGAAUAAGAUUUGGAUUUUACAGACAGUACUAUCUCCUAGGUGCAUAUAUGAUGUUUAUACGACCAAUGUAAUUCUAUAUCAUGUACACCCAGAAGAUUGGGAAGUUAUACUCCAUAUAUGUAUAAUAUGUCAAAAUACAUUCUAUUUUCAUGUAUGAAUAAUUACAACAAAUUUUUUAAAUUUUGGAUUUUAGUCUUGUUUCAGCCGCUUUAACCACUCUGACAAGUCACUGGGGGUUCUUCUGUAAACCUCGG